rnacentral:rRNA from 1 species
GAGUUUGAUCCUGGCUCAGAGUGAACGCUGGCGGCGUGCUUAACACAUGCAAGUCGAACGAGAAACGUGUUUAGUUUACUAAAUAGCAGUCUAAGUGGCGCACGGGUGAGUAAUAUAUAGGUAACAGGCCUCUUACUAAGGGAUAACAGAUGGAAACGUCUGCUAAUACCUUAUAUGCCUUUUGAACUGAAGUUCGUAAAGGGAAAGAUUUAUUGGUAAGAGAUUGGCUUGUACGGUAUCAGUUAGUUGGUGAGGUAAUGGCUCACCAAGACAAUGACACCUAACUGGUUUGAGAGGAUGAUCAGUCACACUGGAACUGAGACACGGUCCAGACUCCUACGGGAGGCAGCAGUGGGGAAUAUUGCACAAUGGACGAAAGUCUGAUGCAGCAACGCCGCGUGGAGGAUGACACAUUUCGGUGCGUAAACUCCUUUUAUGAGCCAAGAUAAUGACGGUAGCUCAUGAAUAAGCGCCGGCUAACUCCGUGCCAGCAGCCGCGGUAAUACGGAGGGCGCAAGCGUUACUCGGAAUCACUGGGCGUAAAGAGCGUGUAGGCGGAUUAAUAAGUUCGAAG